rnacentral:rRNA from 1 species
UACAGAGGGGGCAAGCGUUGUUCGGAAUUACUGGGCGUAAAGGGCGCGUAGGCGGCCUUCUAAGUCGAACGUGAAAUCCCUGGGCUCAACCCAGGAACUGCGUCCGAUACUGGGAGGCUUGAAUCCGGGAGAGGGAUGUGGAAUUCCAGGUGUAGCGGUGAAAUGCGUAGAUAUCUGGAGGAACACCGGUGGCGAAGGCGGCAUCCUGGACCGGUAUUGACGCUGAGACGCGAAAGCGUGGGGAGCAAACAGG